rnacentral:rRNA from 1 species
GCCCGGAGAUGGAUUCUGAGACACGAAUCCAGACCCUACGGGGUGCAGCAGGCGCGAAAACUUGGCAAUGCGAGCAAUCGUGACCAGGGAACUCCAAGUGGCUGGGGUAAUACCCAGUUUUUUCUUGACUCUUCAAAGGUCUUGGAAUAAGGGGUGGGUAAGGACGGUGCCAGCCGCCGCGGUAAUACCGGCGCCUCAAGUGGUAGUCGCUUUUAUUGGGCCUAAAACGUCCGUAGCCGGUCUGGUGCAUUCGUGGGUAAAUCAACCCGCUUAACGGGUUGAAUUCUGCGAGCACGGCCAGACUUGGGACCGGGAGAGGUGUGGGGUACUUUCGGGGUAGGGGUAAAAUCCUGUCAUCCCGAAAGGACCACCUGUUGCGAAGGCGCCACACUAGAACGGAUCCGACGGUCAGGGACGAAACCUAGGGGCACGAACCGGAUUAGAUACCCGGGUAGUCCUAGGUGUAAACGCUGUGGACUUGAUGUUGGGGGUGCUCCGAGCACUCUCAGUGUCGAAGCGAAGGUGAUAAGUCCACUGCCUGGGGAGUACGGUCGCAAGGCUGAAACUUAAAGGAAUUGGCGGGGGAGCACUGCAACCUGAGGAUUGUGCGGUUUAAUUGGAUUCAACGCCGGAAAACUCACCAUAGCCGACGGACAAAUGAAGGCCAGCGUAACGAGCUUGCUGGAUUGUUCGAGAGGUAUUGCAUGGCCGUCGUCAGUUCGUACCGCAAGGCGUUCUGUUAAGUCAGAUAACGAACGAGACCCUCGUCCCUAUUUGCCAACCAGGUCCCCGGAUCUGGCGCACUAUAGGGAGACUGCCCGCGCUAAGUGGGAUGAAGGGGAGGGCAACGGUAGGUCAGUAUGAUCCGAAUGCUAUGGGCUACACGCGCAAUACAAAGGACGGGACAAUGGGCUGCAACUCCGAGAGGAACGACGCUAUCCCGAAACCCGUUCGUAGUUCGGAUUGAGGGCUGUAACUCGCCCUCAUGAAGCUGGAUUAGGUAGUAAUCGCGUCUCAACAGGGCGCGGUGAAUAUGCCCCUGCUCCUUGCACACACCGCCCGUCAAACCAUCUUAGUUGUGGGUGGGUGAGGCUGCCUCUCUGUGUGGUAUUCGAGCCUGCCUUCGACAAGGAGGGUUAAGUCGUAACAAGGUAUCUGUAGGGGAACCUGCAGAUGGAUCACCUCCU